UACGGGGGGGCAAGCGUUGUUCGGAAUUACUGGGCGUAAAGGGCUCGUAGGUGGCCAACUAAGUCAGACGUGAAAUCCCCAGGCUCAACUUGGGAACUGCGUCUGAUACUGGAUGGCUUGAAUUCGGGAGGGGAUGCAGAAUUCCAGGUGUAGCGGUGAAAUGCGUAGAUAUCUGGAGGAAUACCGGUGGCGAAGGCGGCAUCCUGGACCGAUAUUGACACUGAUGAGCGAAAGCUAGGGAGCAAACCGGG
rnacentral:rRNA from 1 species